UUUGUUUUGAUGUCAAAAACUAGAUGACAUCCAGACAUUGAUGCAUUUUUGACCUGCGAAACACAUGACACAAAAAGCAUUAUAACAUUAGGAAUGUUUUAUUCAUCUUUAGAGGACUGGAAUCAGAAACUAUGGGAUUAGAUGACAAUCCUGCUAUUUAUAUUGGGCUUGGAUUUCGAGGCCAAUGUUUGCUCUCAUUUUUAUGUCAUUUUGACAUCAGGGUAGAUAAUUAACAUUAAUUUACAUUUUUUACAUGUUUAUUGAUGUCUUUUUGAUAUCCAGGCGCUUCCGGGGAAAUGCUUGCAAAAAUGCAAACAAAGUAAUGUGCAUUUAUAUAGCCAAAGCACUUCACACUCAUGAUGGGGGUCUCUCCACAUCACCACCAGUGUGCAGCAUCCACUUGGAUGAUGCAACGGCAGCCACAGGACAACGGCACUAGCGUGCUUACCAUCCACCAGCUAUAUAUAGGGGAAGUAGAGAGACAGUGAUACAGCCAAUUCUGUGAAUGUGGAUCAUUAGGAGGUCAUGAUGGAUAAGAGCCAAUGGAGGGAAUAUGGCCAGGUCACCGGGGUUACACCCCUGCUAAUUACAUGAAGUGUCAUGGGAUUUUAAUGACCACAGAGAGUCAGGACCUCAGUUUUAACGACUCAUCUGAAACACGGCGCUCACUGACAGUAUGGUGUCCCCUUCUUUUUACAGGGGCAUUAGAACUCACAAAGACCACAGGUCGAGCAGCCCCCCUGCUGGCCUCACUAACACCACUUCCAACAGCAACCUAGCUUUCCCUUGUGGUUUCCUUUCUAGGUACUGACCAGGCUCAGCCCUGCUCUACUGAAACGUGCAACAAAACAAACCCAGAGCAACAUAUUGCUUGCUUCGCUAAAAUGUAGCAUGAUCCAAUGAGCUUGUGAUGUACAUUUCCCUUUGAUAUCGGGUCAUUGGUUUCUAACACAACUCUAGCUGCCUCUUUAUAAAUCAGACAAAAAAACAUGUUUUAGAACAGAACUUCUGCUUCAUGUUGUUACAACCAACCUCGCCACGCGAGAGCUUGACAUCCAUAACCAAACCCAUCCGGCUGUCCAAAGCGCUCUUUGUCAACUAAUGAGUCUUUCCAGGCUCGGUUCAGUGCACAUCUGUCCAAAAGCAUACGAGCCCUAAUUCUCCCCCUCCCUCUGUCUUUAUGAGCUCGGUGCAGUGCCGGAAUGUGAUUAGUUAUAUGUUGCAUCGGGCUCCGUCUCCAGCUUUGUCACCAGCGAAUUCUAAUCAGCGAGGCAAAUCAGCGCGGAUUGAGCCGAGAUGGAGAGGAAAUAUGAUUUUAAUCAGCAUGCAGCACUCGUGCUCCUGUCUGUCUCAUUCACAACGCAUUCAGAGACGGAGAAACCAUGGAGCAAUCAGCCAGACCUCCGCUGCGUCCUAUCGAGAAGGACGUGCUUUAAUUACCACCAACCACGACUACCUCUCUCUCUGUUUCUCUCCCUCUCUCACUUCCCUAAAAUGAAUAAUUGCAAUAAUGAGCCAUUUUCAUCUAACUCUCCUUCACCAAAAGAUGACAAAAAUUACUCAUCUUGUUAAAAACCCAUAUCUACCGCAACGUGCGUGUGGGAUAAGGGAAUAUGAUGUUGUUCUGUGCGCAGGCUGUGUACUGUAGGCACAUUUGGCCCUAAUGAAUAAUUAGCAGUGUGUUUUAGCUGAGUCACUGCGCUGGAGGGCCUGCACUGGACUCUAAUGGAGGUGUUGCCUCACGUCUUCCAUCACAGGACUGUCCCCAGUGAGCCAAUUGCAUAGCAGCCUGUGUGAGGCACGGUGUGUGUGUGUGUGUGUGCGCGUGUGUGUUAAAAAUAACAGCUCUCCCACUUCAUGACUCAUUCUAUGAGCUCUCUGUCCGACACUCCCAAACAGUGUCUGGAAAGAAACCCUAGAGCCAGCACCUUCAUUUACUGACUGGUCAUUCCUUACUGUCUCUAUGCGGCUGGUCGACAAUGACAAGCGAAGGUGAGAACGACAGAUGGAACACAGAUGCCACCAGUGCGUGCAUGAUUUAGAGAACGGACAAACUGUGGGAGACGAGCAAAACUGCUAAAAUUCAUGAUUUCGGAGCUGUUUACAAAUCUGCAGAGGAGAGUUGUUGAUCCUUGAUGUCAUUUACCAGGCAUGCAUUGCAAAAAAAAAAAAAAAUCUUAAAAAUAUAAUGAAA